GAAAUUGGAAGUGCAGAUGGUCAUGAUGAUGGUGGAGAUAGACAAGGUUCUGCUGCGGAUAGAAUGUCAUUGGGUGAUUCACAAGCUGCUCGCACGAGAAGGUCCAAUGUUUCUUACAGUAACUCUGCCCCGCUUAAUGGGAGAGAUGCAUCUCUACAUAUUGUGACUGAAGUUUCAGAAAAUUCAAGUCGAGAGGCAGAUGAGGAAGGUCCAGUUGGGGAACAGCAGACUAACAGUGAUACUGGUUCGGGAGCAAUAGAUCCUGCAUUCUUGGAUGCUCUUCCUGAGGAAUUGCGUGCUGAGGUUCUUUCAACCCAACAGGGUCAAGUGGUGCAGCCACCGAGCAAUGAGCCACAGAAUGCUGGAGAUAUUGAUCCAGAAUUCCUGGCAG
rnacentral:misc_RNA from 1 species